GAGAGCGAGAAAACUCGCGCCUUUUACAGAGCGAUAACUGCAGCGGCUACGCGAUUAAAUGACCGGUUUAUUUUUAGGUGCGUAUACGUGCUCGUGUUUACUCAGCGGAUGUAAUAAUUUUAUAGUAAGUGGUUAUUGGCGGUUUAUAGCUUCCAGGUUUAAUUCAAUCCGAGCAGGAUUAUUUUGAUGAAAUGUGUGCAAAAUGCGCGUUUAUAAACGAAAAGCGCAUGUUGUAAAAGUUGAUCGUAAUGGAACUUCUUUUACAGGGCGAUAGCUCGAAUUACGCAACGGGUAUACAGAUAAUCAUCCCUCUCAGAGGAGGCACGAACGGGAUUUCCAAAAUCAAUUAACAUAAUUAGCAUAAUUUUGAAUCCGGCUUGCAAAUCAAGCCGAGGCACAGGGUAUAAUCAGCAUGCCUUGAUAGAGGAAAAAAGGUCAUUCUCGAAAACAAUACACAGCGAAAACUAGUUAAACCUCUCAGUCAUCUAAGAGGAUGAUUUCGAAUCAUUUCAUCAAACAUACCCGACACGACUAUCUCUUCUAAUUUAAAUACGCAUAGGUAUAUAUACUCACCUAUGAACCAUCGAUUUCACGAGCAGCGAUUAAACGAGACAGCUGUGAUUAAAAUUUUCAUUCAAACCCAUAUGCAAGUGAUCGACUAAUUAUAAUAAGCCUAUACGUUAUUACACCAACCUACAUUCGAUCCCAUCUAGAAAAUUUAUACGAAUCGCCAUAGAAACUUGUUUGAAAAAUCUCACAAACGACGAACAACGCGGAAUAUUUAGAAAACCGUCGAGUUUCCCUGAAACCGUUCGCGAUCGCGCUCGUAAAGCGCCGAACGACUUCCAAUAUAACGAGUGUAUCCUACACAGUCAGUCGUGCUGUACGUGAGUUACCGCGAAGGCAAUGAAGAAAGGAGAUCGUCCAUCGCGAGCGCGAUGCUGGAUGAGCGAAAUGAAAUGUCGCUUGGACUAGUUAUCGAUCGAAUGUAUUGCUCGAUGGCUCGGUCUAAUUGCGGGAUUGAAGUGGCUUGUCGGACGACGGUGACGCAGUUUGUAUAGAGGUAUCUUCGAGAAAUAGAUUUGAUUGAUGAAUUCUUUUUUCGGUAGUGGAUUUCAUUUGCUAUUUAAGUAAGCUUCUUAUUGAUGUAGAUGUAUAGUAUUUUCUUUUGAUUGAUACAUCGUUAUUUAGGAUCGAUCGUACAAUGCUCGAGACUUUUAAGACGAUAUUUGUUUUAUUGGUCGUUGAUCUGUGAUUUUUUGUCUGGAGUUUAUAUUCCAAGAGUUAAUUUUCGGAAUGGCCUUAUUUGGCUUUUACUGUGAUUCAGUAAGAAGUUGUGUAGUCAUUUCGUAGGUAUUCCUGUGUCGGUCAUAUAAACUAGUCAGGCGCGAUUUGCUUUCAUUAAUGUAAUUGAAAAUAAUUAUUUUCUUUCCACGCGCGUUGCAUAAGUGCGAAUUAUUCUUUUCCACGUAAUCCUUUAUCUUUGUGCACGCGGCAAUCAAUCUGCAAUUUUGUAUGUAAAACAAGAAUCGUACUCCCGAGAGUGACUUAUAAUUUUUGGAAUGUUGGUUAAAAAGUGUGAUAAAAUGUAACGAAUGCUGUUACAUUGAAGUAUACUUAUACUCAUACAAUCGUAACAGACGUGCAGUGUGCUUUAUGUUUCCUGAAAAUUCAAUUUAAAUUAUACUAAGCAUCAUUACAGUAAAUUAGAUCUAAUUAUCUAAUUCGCUCUAUUGACGCCAACAGUAAUUCUCGCAUUUUUCGUCGUAUGAACUAAACAAACUUUGAUAAUAUUUUGUUGGCCUAACAUUAAAAUCAUACAUCCAACAAAAACUUUAAAAAAUAUGAAUCCGAUAGCAUUUGACUGAGCAAGAUUUUUCGCUCUCUUAUAUCAGCAAAAUGGAAUAUGCUUGUCAAUCCAUAUGCACUGAAAAAAACGACUCUCAUUCUAGGCCUCGAAAUCACGGGAUUAAAUUCGAAGCCAUCACCGCGAAACCGCACAGCGCGCCUGAUAUAUAUACGUCACGUCAUAAAAAGGAAUUUUUCCUAUCGCAGCUCUAUACUUCAGCGAAAUGCAGCGCGCGUGCACCAAUGAACGCGCAACUCCUUUUGCGUAACGUCGUCCCACGAGGCAUCUGCUGUACUUACGUAAACAAACAAGGACAUAUUAUAGUCGCGGAGACAAAGCCGAGUCGUCGGGGAAAAAAUAAGUCUAUAGAGCUGCUUUCUCAAAGAUUGUAAGCACUAUUCAAUUUGCUUCAGGAUGACGAUUAGUGCGUGCGACGGCUUCGAAUCUGUUGUAUACUGUGUUGAAAAUUUAGUCCGAAAUUAUUUAUUUUCGAGAGUAACGAGGAACGGCAGGAGCUAGUGUAGCGACGUUGCUUCUUUAUGCUGACGUUUUUCGCUGAAUUUUUUUAAAUAGUUUUAAAUAGACUCGUUUUUUUGAGUAUUUAUUUUUUAAUUAAUAGUUAUUAAUAAUUUUAUAAUCUUAUAUCUAUAUCUACACGUUCCUCUCAUUUACCCAAAAUAAAAACAGUUUCAAUACCCACACAUCGAUGACAAGAAAGUUGUUGGUCACUAACGAUACCUGACAUUAAUGCGCUUUUAAUGCCUGCACUACAAGCUCGCGUUGAUGAUUAUGUCUGUGAUUUCAAAACUCGUGAUUUCACCGAACUCGUCGAGAAAACCGCGCUUGAAAUCAGAACGAAGCGAUGCUUGCCUAUCUCGUUGUUUUUGAACCGUACAGCGAUCUGUUCGAGCAUCUUUCACUCAUCGCGUGGCACUCGAGCGAAUUUCCCCGAGAGCUAAAGUCAAAUCUGCCGAGAGAGUGAGAGAUGAAAGCCGCGAGCGACUGCGGACGCUUCGAUAAAUGGACCGCGAACCGUGCAAAAGUAUGGCGAUGCGAUUUUAGGAUUUAAUUUCGUUCUUCUGCUAAGUUCAGAAAGAGUAGGAUGACUAUUUUUGGCAAUUCUCUUGAACGUCAGGAGAACAGUGCAUCAUUGUAUACAGCCGUUUUACGCGUUUUAGUGCGAAAAAAAAAUUAACAUCUUGCUAGUAUGAAAUAUUGCUAAACGCGACCAUUGCAAAAUUUAACGUCUAUAGCUAUUUUAGACGCAUUUUGCGCGUAAAAAGUGCGCAUACUGUGUUCGAGCUGCUCUCUACCGAAAGAACGAAUCGCGACUUCAUAUGUACUUCGUAUACCUCUGAAAAAAAUCAGCGCUGAAAUCUCAGCACUCGCGCGCGUUUCGUAUAAAAGGAGCGAGAGAAGGUUGUAUUUUUGUUCGACCGCCUCCUUUUACCACUGCUGCUCUUCUCCGGCGUUCUUUACGUCCUUUUUCGCGAACCGGCUCUCGCCAAACGCGUGUUCCCGUCCAAUUAGCAUUAUCUGCUCGUACGAUUUUCCCUCUCCCCGGUAACCUGCUUUUGCUGUUAGCUCGUCCGUUUCUACUGCUGCUGUUAAACGAGUGAAUACGUGAAUAGUGUAUAAGGGUUGCUGGUGGAUGUGCAUAAAUUGAGGAAUUCGCCCGAGCGCCAGUUUGUUUUAAAGAGCUUUUGGGAUCGAGAUGCGCGGUAUCGGUAUACUUUUGAUGCCGAAUGUGACCAACUUUUGUAUUUAACAUUUUCUGUUAUGUUUUCAUAUUUCUUUUAUAACUAGCUAUCAGCGUGGAUACUUCAUAUAUAGACGUGCGCCAGCCAUGAUAAGACCAUUUUGACAAGCCUGCUUGCAUUGCUCAUACCAUAACUGCCUAAGAUAAACGCACCAAUACUGAUUAUCAUCGCCUUCGUUUUCACUCAUGAUGAGGCUGAAAAGUCUCUCAAUAAUCUAGAAUUUCUUUUUCGGCUUUUGUUUAAGUAUCCGUGAACACAUCUGAACAGCUUCGCGAAAAACUUUGUCACUUAACCUCUUAACGAAAUACGGUUUGUUCGCUAUAGGUCUGUACAUAUAUAGUUUCCCAAUUUUUCCAGGCCGCUUACCCUUUUUAAAAAUUUAGUGCGUUUUACCGGAAUUCCACUGAAGCUUAUUGCGGAACGCACUCAGAGAUGAGCGUCUUUUAUUACUGUUUCGACUAAGGUUAACAAUCAUCUUUCCUGUUGGCUAUGUAAAUAUAAGUCGGCGUUAUCGCAACGACACACGCUGGCUUCCUAAUCCCGGUGGUUCGCUCGUUAACACGGCUGAACCAGUUGCAUUUUUCUCGAUCUUUCUCCUGAUUUAAAAGUAAAAGCGAAGCGUCAUCCUCUGAGCUGGAUGGAGAAAAAAAGUAAGAGGAAGAAUCGCAUGUAUUUACACGAAGCCGAACAGGAACAACGAAAGCGCAUGAAGUCUAAGCCGGAAAAAAGUGAAAAGAGACUUUGUCGCGCGACGCAUUUGCUGCGUAUCAUCUCUCUCAUGUCGUCUCGAAAACAAUGAGCGCUUUCAUCGAAAAAAAAGAUACCCUCGCGGUUUCCAACGUUGCUGCAUCAUAUUGUCGGGGCCUUUGACCUACUGAAUUCUCGCUUACGAAAUUAACAAUAAACCUUUCGAUCAGUUCUCACAGCUAUAUGGCAAUCGUAACAACACCGCAGAUUUAUCGCAAAGGCACAGCAUUACAAGGCGCUAAACGAACGCUUAAAAGUGCAUAAUUCAUCUGGUCGAAGAGCCGUAAACUCGAAGCUCGCGCGAGCGAGCGCACCCACGCGGUUUCUUCUUCUUCUUUUUCUUCCUAUUCAGCUCGUCGCGCGUCUGGACGCACGUAAUUAUUCUGCUCGCUGGCCUGAAAAUCCUCGGAGCCGUGUCACUGUAUUCGCGGCUGGAGCGUCAAACUCUUUCUCUCUGUGCUACACGGUGCUGGUGUCUCGGUUGGCAUCCAAUUCGGAAAAUUAUCGAGCCGUUAUAUUCUGCGAAGAAGGAUUAAUGCAACUUUUUAUUGUCGCGGUUCUAAAUUGUGAUGUCUUUUCAGAUGACUGCUCUCUCAUAUUGUUUGUUCGGAUGAACUGGCAGUAGUGUGCUUUUUGUUGAAUCGCGUCAGAUUUUUUUUCAUAACGAGAUAGAGAACAAAUGCGUUUAUAAAAGUUUGCUCUACUAUUUUUGCAAGGAUGUUAUAUAACGUUUGGCUCAUAAUUAUAAAAUUGUGGUCAAUGGGACUCACAUGGCAAGAAUCAAACGGAAAUGGAGACAGCGUUAUAGUAGCGGCUUUUAGAACGACAAAGUCAUAUUUUAUUCACGGCGCAAAUAAUUCGCAAGAUAAUCUCUAAGGAAAUUGCUUAAUGUCAGCUGUGUAAGCAGAGUGAGCAUCGGGGUUCAAUGAUUCCUUCAGAGUCCCCUGACCCUAUGCACACACUCGCUCAGCUGUGCCGUGCCAUUGAGUAAUUCAUUUCGACAUUUCGCGCGCGCAUAAAAAUCAGCGAUCUUGAUACAGCUAAAUUUUAAUGAAUUUCCCUAUUGUCUUUGCCGAGACAGUCGUCGUAUAGUCGUCGCCUCAUUAAUCGUCGUUAUAUACCGGGUCAAAUACGUUUUAGUUCUAUAGAGUAUCAGACUAUGAUGAUGUUCGUGCGAAAGGAAAUGAGCUUUUGAAGUAAUAUUACUUGAACUAAUCGAUGCAAGUUUAAUUCAGUUUAAUUAAAUUAGUCGAUCGAGAGAAAACAAAGAUGCGCAAUAUAUGAUAUAUCUCUCCGACGGGAUCGGAAAGUAAGUCAAAAACGAUGCCGAACGAAACCAGUUUUGAAGCUAGUUCCAGUGAGCAAAACAAAUCAAAUUUUACGAUGAGUAUACCAAAAAAAAACUAGAUCGUAAAUCAACGAUACGUCUUUUUUCUGCGGAAAUUAAAAUGCAGGUGGAUUAAGCUGAAUCAUUAAAUCGAAUGAAAAACUCAUCGUGAAUCUUUCAUAAACUACUUGAAGCUUGUAAUCCAAAAAUAUAAGGAUCUUCGAUUUCUCAACACCCCAGUUCAAGCGGCAAAACGUCUAUACGUACCCGACACGACAAGUGAUCGCAAGGAUUGUCGCUUUGCAUAACUUUAUUACGAGAUAAGUGCAGCGCGCUAAGUGCGUGCGACAAGCGUACGUGAUGUAGAAUUUCAUCGUACCAACUCCGCACAUAGCGAAGAGAGUGUAUAUAAUAUCUGCAAUUGGAAGAUUACGCGGAUAAAUCUCGUUGUCGCAUAAGCUCGCGAGGGAGAGGGCUUUUUCGAAAUCCUCUUUAUAUUUUUGGCCAUCUUUUACUGUCAUAUGCGACGCGAUUUGUGUGUUUCUGGAAUAGUUUUUGAUGUAUCGCUAUAAUAUUUGUUAUCGAUACGGUUAGAAUUUUCCAUCGAAGCUUUGAAGUUUAUCAAAACCAGGCGCUAAAUCCGGUUCGUAUUUCCCAAUCCUAAAGCCAGCCUAUAUUAUACUCGAGUCAUAAUCCAGAUAAUCUCCAGCACACAUCCCGAACGAAAGCGAAAUCGACGCGGAGUAAGAGCCGAUACACUUUCACAUUCGGUCCAUUUUCGGCUCGCGAUCUCCAGGUCUCAUCCGUCGGCGGGCGUUACACUUUACACGCUCGAGAUUCUUGAACCCGCGUCUCUCUAUUUCUUGGGCAAGUGGAGGUGGCCGCAGCGAGACACGAGACCGUUACAAUUCCGUGGGGCCUAAACACCGGGAAAGUUUCAGAGCACAAUAAAAGCUAACUGUCCCGGGGCAUGGGAAACCGAGGCCUCGAUUCGGAACUCUCGGGUUCUUUUUUUUUACGGGCUUUUGUUUCGUGGAGACUUCCGACGCUGUUAUGAAAAAUUUGAAAUUCGAAGGAAGUUUUUGAACGAAGGACAAGUCCACUCGAUAAAUAGAGUGAGACAGAUGCGAGAAACUACACUUGGCGAAACCGCGUAAUGUCGCAGGAAAUUGCGUUUCGGUUACAGUCGUGUCGUAGUAGUUUGCCAUCUAAAGAGUGCGUGACAGCGCGGGACUUGCGUUCUUUUUUUCGGAGUCUCGGCGUGCAACGGGUGAAUUAUUUUUAAAAUCGUUGAAAAAACAAAGGAGACGUUGCGUGUUGGCGUUUUCUGGAAAAGAAUAAGUAACGCCGGCGCGUGUUUGCCAUGUAAAUGCAAUGACAAAAUCCAAUGGCUAUUUUAUAAGGUAGCUCUAUUCCGUGAAUAAAUUUAAUUUUUUCAAAUCGAAAUGCUAUAAUUGCGAUUGUAAAAUUAGAGGCGUAUAACACGUGGAGCAUCAAUAAACCGCAUUAGAAAAUGUAUGCAAAUAUUUUUCAUGUUUAAAGCAUGAGGUCUGCGAAUAAUUCAAAUUCGACAUGGCGGGUUACAAAGAAGAUUUAAGCGGUUUACACGACAAAGAUAGUUUUUUAUCCAAUAUACCAUAUCGAAUAAUUAAAGCAGUCAUUUUUAGCUUCAAGCGUGACGAUUCGGGCAUUCACGUCGGAAAAAAUUCACUUUCCACAAAAGCUGCGCUGAUUACUGUGAAGAGGUUUUUUCACGCUCUUCUCAUAAAGGUUCAAAGCGCGUAGAAGUAUAAAUCAAGCGGCGGUAACGAAGCGAGUGUGAGAAGUAUCGCGCGUUCCACGAAGAAUUUACGUGGUCUUACGGCUUUGUUUCCUGGUUUCCGUGAGAAAUGCGCCGUAAACUAUGCCGUUUUCCAUUGCUAGUAAACUUAACUUAUUGUGAUAAUAAAGCAGAGCUUGUUAAUUUCUCCAUUUUGAAAAAAGAAACAGGCUUCGCCUUAUCUCAAAGUUAUAAUCACCGGCGCUCGGUGGAAAAAAAAUGCAACGGUGCAGCCCUAUUUUCAACAUUUUUCCAGAUGAGUCUAUAAAAAGUUCCCUGCAAAGUAUGGCCUGUCUUUUCCUUCCAACUCCUCACACACACACACAUCACAUAGCUGGCGGCGAUAGUUCCUGCAACUACGUUUUUUCCACACGCUCCGUAUUUUCUUUUUUUUCGUUUCACGUACACUCGACGCGUAGAUCAUAUACAUACACGAGAGGAGCUAAAAAAAGCAAGAAAAAUAUAUACUGCAAGUGACUUCCCACGUUAUACGGAGAGCUUUUCUCCGCUCUCUAUUUUUACGCGACUCGUCGAUGGCAUGAUGCGAAACGAUUAAGAUGAAGUACCGAUAUAUCCUGGGAUAUGCGCUUGUUAGGGUUAUAAAUUACACGGAAAAUUUAAAUACGCGACGAAGAAAGUUCGUUGUACCCGUGUAAUACGUACAGAGAAAAAUGUGAAUCGAUUAAUCCAGCGUUUUCUCAUACACGUAUUAAAAAAACUUUGUUAUCGAUAGAAAGGCAAGUUCUUAUAUUAAAACAAUCUUCAAAAUCAGUAUAAGCUAUAUACACUCGAAAAAAUGACCGUAAACAUGAGCACUUUGGCUCGGUACUUUUACGUCGCGUGAGUCACGUUUUCCAAACCCGUUUCCACGGCGUUUUUUUCUCGCGCAGCUCGCCCGACCAGUUGCGCGAUGAACGUUGUUGUGUUAUUUGCGGCGAACGCGAAAUUCAUGUACCGCAUUUUUUGCGACAUCAGAGUAGAACCUGGAAUUAUUCAAUUUCGCGCGUUUGCGACCUGAAAUAUAUAAAACAAGCUCAAUGUCUUAAACUGCAUCAAUAUAUAAAGAUGUGCCGACGAACUCGAAGUAUACAUUGGCCUGUAUCAAAAACUCCUCGAUCAUCGGGAAAGCAAUUCGCAUCAAUCUUUGAGUCAAUCCACCUCCUGUUUUCCAUAUAAAUAGAAACAUCACUCCGCGUGGACUGUCGCCGAUAUCGAGCCAUCAAACCGCGCGCGAAACUCGGCGCCUCUCGCGCAAUAAAGCCACGGCGUUGAUAUACUCACUCGCGCAGGUCUGAGGGAAAACGUAUAGGUAGGAAUAAACGCCCGCAGCCAUGCACCGCGUGUAUAUAGGACGUGUUGCGCGCGAUGAUGAAGAAGAAGAAGUUAAGACCCGGGCGCGACACCGAUGCACUUUGUGUGCAGCGUAUAAAUAGACGCGCUGCACAUAAAUAUACAUAUGCCACGGCGGCGGCGGCCGAGGGAUUAGGCCGCUGCGUUGCUGCUGCGACUGCUUUUUGUUCUACAAUACGCGAAGGAAAUUUGAAUCUUUGUUCUCUUUAUCUUAUGUGGAGGAAGCGGCUUUGUUGUUGUUGCAGCUGCUUUUGGAGUCGCUGGGACGUAUUAUUGAUAGCACUCGGUUUUGUGAUGAGCUUAGAGAGUGGGACUGACUUUGUUAUACUCGUGUAAAUUUUCGAUGCAGUACAAUAUAGCAACCGCUAACUGAAAAAAUAAAUCAACAUAAUUUAAUGAUGGCAGCCUUAAUGACGGCAAUUUCAGCAAAAAGCUAUACAUAGCGCGGGAUAAUAAUGGGCGCAAAUAAAUCCAGUGUAUAAUAAUCCGUCGGAUAAUUAGUUUACAGCUUUAAACGAUACACAUUCUCCGAGUCAUCGUCGUCCCUUUAUACCUUCAUUACCUGUCGUUUGUUAAUUUCCUUUUUUUCCUUGGUUCUUUCUCUCGUGCACACGAGCGGCAACGGCUCUCUCUCUCUCUCUCUCUCUCUCUCUCUCUCUCUCUCCUGAUGCUGCUGCCUCUCUCGUCCUUGACUGGCGAUUCUCGAUCGUUUAUCCGAUGCUACUUGCAUAUUUACUGCUGGUUUGGCUAUAUUUAGCCCGGCGUGUUAUAUUAUACACUGCGUAAUAUACACACAUGCGUUAUCACAACUCAAAGUGCUCGAUGUCAAAUGAUAAUAAUUUAUUUUUUUGCACGUGGAGGAGGAAGAAUAUCGUCAAGCUCUAGAAUUGGACUGGCCUUUCGUAUUGUACCACUUUGACUUAUCAGCUCUUUGGUUUCUGGCUAACGACGCUAGGUGGCGUAAUUUUCAGUUGCAAACAAAAGUAUCCGACACAGUAACAAACGUAUCCGCUAUAGCAAACCGAUUCAAACAGGAAAAAUCGCUCUCCUUUAUUGCAUCUCUCCGUCGCUCGGUGUUCUCUCCUUCGUUUUUCGUCGUUUGUCAUACAAGGAUCGAUUUGCGCGAGAAAGGGUGAAAAUUACCGCGACUCGUCUGCGCCACAGCUCCUGCUCGCUCAGGUCAUUACCGAUCUUCCGUCGCGACUGGCUUUCGAUAACGUUCUCGUCGGCGCCAGGCCUUUGUGUUUUUCCUCUCGUGCCGCAAUUUUCUCAUUUUCUACCGACAGUACACCGUACCCCCACUCCCUCGUGCGCAGCGUUCUGUUUUGUUGCAUGUUUGCUCCGCUCUCUCGCAUUGUGCGAGCAAUGAAUCGGGAGAAAUUUGUCGCAUUGUCGUAAUGAAGUUUGUAAAGGCCAUUUAAAUCCGAGCGCGCUAUUGUGCACCGAGCUUUGUGCAUUCGCUAUGGUGUACAAGAGUCGCUUUUUAUUGUUGUUUGUUGUACGUGUGUGUGUGUAUAAGAGGAGCUUUAAUUAAGGAGUUUUGCAGCGCGAGUUUGCAUUCAUAGUUUUGAGAUCAAAAAAUUUAUAGAUAUGACUUGUAAGGGUAACGUUCAUAACUUCAUUUCGAGGAGGUGUAAGAUCGUCAAAGUCAUUUUUCGAAAUAAAAAUCGCAUACUAUACUAUGCGUAUUCUUCAUUAGCUCUUGAUCCACAAGCAAACUUCGUAUACUAACAGAUCGAAAGCGCACUUAUUGUUUUUACGAGGCACUUAACGUUUCUGACCUUCACUUCACGGAAUGCAUUUUCCAACGGCGCGCGCUCUAUAUAUCGACGCAAUUAAAACCAGUAUAAAUUAAUGUAAUGAAAAUCCACUACAUUGUAGUGACUAUUCACUAUUCCCUUAAAGUGAUAACUACGCAACUACAAAAUAGUGAAUAUUCACUACACGAAAUAAAGAAACUAAAUUCACUGUACGAAGUAGUGAGUAUUCACUGUUCCAAGUAGUGAAUAUUCAAGGUUUUAAACAGUGAAUAUUAGCUGUUUUUCAAUAGUGUAGCUUCAAUCAAUUGAUGAAUUUUCACUACAAGAAACAGUGAAUACUCACUACUUGUAGCAGUUAAAAAUUAUCGUAUUUCAAAAUUCGAUUUUGAAGGUUACUCAUGCUGAAAUAAUUACAAAAGAAUUUUAAAUGAACGUCAAGCUAGUUUAUUAUAAAGAUUCAUCGUCAGAAGCAUCAGUUAGUGAUUCGCAGUCAAUCAACUGUUCAUCUUUGAUUGACGAUAAAUUUACAUGGAGUGUAGUUACUGAACUGACUGCAGGCGUGUCAGAUGUAAUUUUAUACACAAAACGCUGAAUGAAAUAAAAAAAAUUUCGCUUAGACGCGUCCACCUUAAUCUGGCACAAUAAAUGCACAACCCGAGCACAAACAGCACAGGAGUAAUUACGUUUACCUCCAAGUUCACGGCACAAUGACUCGAUGAUGCACGGACCCGAACGUGACAACUGCCCGCAAUGGCGCCGGCGCGCUGCACGACAUCUUUCGCGAACCUGCAGGAGUUCGAUUCACUAUUUAAAUAGUUAUUUUCUCACUACGUAAAUAGCGCAGAACAUAGUAUUUUACCAAAGUAGUGAAAUUUACUAUCACACUAGUGAAGAGUUCACUACUUUGUUAUAGUGAAAUAAAUAUAACCUAUCAUUUUCCACUACUUUCCCAGUGAAAAGUAUGUUCACUAUGCAAAAUAGUGAAACUUUCACUACUUUAAUUUAAGAGAGUAUAAGCAGUUUUUGAAACGCAUACUUCGUUUGCCUCGAAAUAUUCCCUACUCCUUUGUGCCACUCUUACAACACCGAGCGCCAUACCGUUGUGUUCUUUAAAACUAUAAUACGUCAAGAAAAAAAAAGAAGAAACUCAGUCACGCACUUUUCAACGGCCGAGUUCGUCGACCUCCCGAGGAAACAACAGCUCGUCAAAAACGCAUCGCGCCUCUGUUGCGGAAAACAGUAGGCGCGUUACGGAAUCUUCUGGAGAAGUGGCUUCAUGCACACUUGGCUUUCGCUUUCGCGCGCGACAGGAAGCGCGUAUCUCGCGGAUAAGGAUCAUCCAUCUACGCGAGUUUGUUCCAGCCAAACACUUUGUGCCUGAUCCGUCUGGACGAAUGUAUGGUUGUAUCAGUGGGUGAAGAUAUGGCUAGAUAUAGUGGUGUGCAACAAUGCUAAAACUUCUUUGUUUUAGAACGUCCACUUCCGAUCCAUCAUGAUAGUCAAUUAUAUCAGCACCAAACCUAAUCAACAACCGGGCUGUCGAAGAGCGUCUGAAGUCGCUAGUCUUCGAAAUGUUCUAUAAGUUACUAUUAUACGGUUUCAAAAUUAAUACUUCGGUGAUGAUUCACAUCGUACACACACUGUACGUACAUCGAUGCGUCGAAAAUUUUUCUUGAAGCGUUAAAUUUCAAGAUAACGACAUUAAACGUUUCAAUAUACGUUUUCCUGAAAGGCGAUAUAGUAAUUUCUCGAGAAUCCGGUUCGUACCAGCAGCGUCGGCGUCGGCGCCGCUCGAGGCAAAUAUUUUCCAUCUGCACCCACACGAUCGACGGAAGUCCGAACGACUCCGUGGCCUUUUUCAGCGACAGGAGAGAAGCUUCGAACUGCGUCUCUCGGCUUUGCAGAUCUACGCGAAAUCGCGUAUACGAAUGAUUUUGUGCUGUGUGUAGUCGAGGAAAACAAAGGAUUGUUAAAGAUAAUAAUAGGUUGCGCUUUUUUAAAGCUGUACGUAAUUGCUAUAGAUAGAAGAUGGCGAACGUUUUCCAACAGCGAAACUGAUGUUUGCAUAAGUUCUUUGUUGCUGUUAAAAGCUCCUGUAUUCAGAAUUCUUCUAUAUAAGCAGAUUAGCAUAUUAAACCAGAGUCACGUUUUUUUUAAACAUAUUAUUACGAUUGUAUCUUGAAAUCGUUUAAUUGAAGUUAUGGAAAUACCAUUAUCGAUCUGUACAUCCUCUUAAUUACUACUUAUCUUUGCAAGGGUAUCGAUUCGUUUUAAAUCGCUAAUAAAGCAUCUGCGAAUAGAUUUGCAUAAUUAAUUUUCUGCAUCUUCCGACGGAACAAUUGCUUUUGCUAUCUUACUAUGAAUAAAACAUAGACGACUAUAUUUUCAGUUUUUAUACCCAAAUCGUGAUAUCACGCGGCAAAUAAAAAAUCGCUUUGUAAUUCAAAGCAAACUUUUACGACCGUAUAGCAUAUACUCACAUUCACAGUAGAAAGAACAUAAUAUGCCAAACUAUGAUUGUAUUAUUAUUUUACGAUCGAUUCAAAGAACAUAAUAUAUAACGUCCUCACAGACAUACGCCGCAACUGCGGAGCGAUAUUUCACGACCGUGCAUUUGACACUGUUCAUCCGCCGCAUCACGUGAGCGUCGACGUUAGUACAUAUACACGUAUACAUAUAGAAUCCAGUGGAGCAGAUAGUGCAUCGGAUAAAACUGCCCGGGACACACGUGUGUGCAUAUGACAUCGAGCCCAUGUGCUUCCGGUCUUGCUUUCGUGCGUUUCGAUCUUCGUCAGUGGAAAAGAGUUGGUUUAGGUGACGCGUGCGGUAUAUUGUGGUCCGGAAGUCGGGUUCCUUUCAGUCCUUACAGGUAUACUUACAGGUAUACUUAGACGCUUUUUCAUUUUCGUGAUCACGUGCAGUACUAUAGGAAACAGAUGUGCAAUAACAAUGUGUAUUUGUUUAUAUCUUUUUGCGGACACAAGUGAAAUCGCUUCAAACCAGCUCUCGAAUUAAUUACUCACAACCGCUUCGAGCAAGUAGACACAAGCCGGGUUUAGUAAGUCAUCAAACGCACCGCGACUACUUAACCCGUAUUAGGUCGCAUUAGUUCACCUUCGCGGCACUUCUGUAUACGACGCGGGAACGUGCUGCGAGACGCUGUUUUGCUCGCGCGCGAUCCGAACCCGAUAUCAAAUGUGGACUGGUUAACAGCUGAUGCAAAUCGAUCGGCAAGGUCGACGCACGAUUUCUGGAUCGUACUAUUACGGCUUCCUUUGAAAGAUGCGGAACGAGGCAUGAGAAUGACUAAACAUCGUUGACGGCUUGAUUUGAAGAAUUGAUUCAUCGACUUGACAAAAUUAAAACUUGCAGUGAUUUAAUUGACACUUCUAUAUAGUAUCAUCCAGGCGAAUAACCGCUCAUUCGUUUAUUAUACCUCCGCGAUUGAAGGCGAAAAAAAAAAUUCCUAUAUAACGCAGUGUCAUGUAGGCAUCGCUAUAUGACGUCAGCAUCGAAUCCACUCAACGCGGUAUCAUCACGCGGUUCGUUUGUUCGUCUCCCUUUUUUCUCGUCGUCGUCGUCUUUAAUUCCAUCGAGGACGAGGAUCGUCCGAUCCGUCGAUUCGGCGAAUCGCAUCUGUGCGUCUAUUGUUCGAUCGUGGCUCGAGGCGUCAAUGCGUUCGCACUUGUGAUGCGUAUUAUAUUGCGUUUUAAAACCAACUGCGCCUUGUCUACACACGUAUACUUCACCUGUUCCGUUAUUAUCAGUCUCGAGGCUGCGUUUUUCCGUUCGACCGCCGCUAACAUUGCGUAACAGCCUAGUUAGACGAUAAUUGCUUCUUAAUUAUUCGGCAGCAGAAAAAUAAAGAGGGCGAGGCGUUUUGAGUGGUAUUUUUUAACGAGACUACGAGCCGCCACCGGCUUGUUUAUCACUUUUGUGAUAGGUUGCUUUUUGUCGAGCACGCGCAAAAUGAUCGAUGAAUCGAUAUGUGCAUAGCACAGCUUCGAAAACUGAUGAGAACUGCAAGCUAUACUGCCGUCGAGAGCUAGUGGCUAAUACUAUGUCUCACUUAGUCGAGCAGUGUUAUAGGCGACAAGAAGCGACAACGAUUCCAAUGUUCAAGGCGAGAUUCAAUGUGAGGUUGAAGUAUAUUUCGAGGACUGCGAGCAGCUUUUUUAUACUCUUCGGCUGCGCUGCUACGCGCCGCACUUGAAGUUCAGAGGGAGAGACGAGGUGGUAAAAAGGUUUCAAAGGCAUCUCUUCUGAUGAGCGAAGCCUAGACUGCGGAGGGAAGCGUAUUUUGUUUUUUCGUUCAAAGAUAAUAAAAAGUCGAACUCUUCGCGUAAUGAUACUCGGUACGGUGAACCGAGUUAAUAUUUCUUUCUACAAUAUAAGAGGAAGAAUCUUCUGAGAUCGUUGCUUUCUCUCGUCCUUUUUGCAUAGUAUGCGCGACGCAGUUUUAUACAAAUUCAAAACCGCAAAUGACGCACGGGAAGUGUAAAAAAAAAAUUGUGCGCUUGCCGGAACAGCUGAUCGUGCAUUCCUUUCACAUUUGGACGAGAACGAUAUCUCAAUUUCGAGUUUCGCAAGAAAUAUCCGACGACACUCGCAUAAUUCAUACGCUAUCCAAAUCAAUCACCGGUUACGCGUAUACAAACUUCAUCGAUAUAUGAUUCCAAUACGCCGAACCACGAUUCGUUCAAGUGUCUCCAAUUCACAGCAAUAAACGGCUGAUGCAUGAAGCGGACGCAACACGCAGUCGCAGCGCAGCCUCUCCUCUCUAAUCCCGCGAAAAUUCCCACAGCUCGGAAAAUUGCGUCACGCCUGCGUGUACAGCGCUGUAGCUUCGAGGGAAGUGAACAACCUGUCGCGUAGGGAGCCGUGUUCCGCGAGUCUAUACGUACGCGCAUACGUACGUAUAGCUAUAUGUAUACUGAGAAAAGGUAAAAAGAGAGAGAGAACAAGGACGGCGCGAUCUACCUCAAGCCGAUGGAAUGCAACUCCGCUGUCGAUCCGCAAGGACGUUGCCCUCUUGAAGCUUCUUUUCUUAUUCGCUCGCGCACGGGAGGCUUCUUUUUUACACGCGCGGACUGCCGAAUUUCUAUGCGAGAUGCAGGAGAGCCGAAAGCGUGACUUUACGAGGAGCUGCGGGAAAAAGUACGAAGAACGAGCUCUGACUGCCGAUCUCGGAUGGCUUCGGCAAUUUUAUGGCUGCUCGGAUGGUCAUCUGAGUGUUCGGAUGGAAUUAACGAGGAGCGAGUCGACGGCUGAUUAAGCUAGGGAUUAGUGCACGCGUGUGGAUUCAGCUGCUUUUAUUUUUUUUUAACUCUCCGAUUCUAUUGUAUUGUAAAAUCUUGGAAUUAAAAUCUUCAAGCGCCGACUUAGCAAUGUCUUAUGAGAUUAUGUGUAACGCAGAAGCUAUGCUAAGAGCCCUCGCUGAGUCACCCAUACAACGAACUACAUGCUUAUAUACACCGAUAAACCGCAUUUUUACAAGCCUCUAGCUCUCUCCACUAUACCGCUUUAUCUCGUACAAAAUCGACUUACAAAUAGCCGCGCGCAAAGAAUCGUGUACACGAUCCUUCACGAUUUCGCGAAUAAAUCGUGUCUUCGAGUCACACAGCGUCUCGCGAUUUCAUCUCAAACUAUUCGAUCGGACGUGAUGAGUCGCGCAAGCGCUUCCUCGAAAAAAAUCACUGGCCGAUAUAGGAGCAUUUAAAUCGCCCGCUAUACAAGCGCGAAUCGGAGUCUCUCGGCUAUACCUAUAGUGCAUAAAAGAAGGGAAAACGGUAUAUAAUACCCUCAGCGAGAGAUGCGGCUUGUGAUAUAGCUGUUUCGUGCAGCACACGCGCGUAACGGAUAACGCGCGGGCCGAUGCGCGGCGCGAGCAAGAAAUGCAAAAAUGAAGAGUUAGCGCGGUACCGCUUAUGCUAAUUCUCAACGUGAGAUUGUGUGCACUAUACUGAAUGAGUUUGCUUGUGAUGUACUUUCCUCUUCCAUUAUUUACACGAUAUGAAUCGAAAAUUAUCGCUAUAGUUUUCGAUUACAAACAACGCAGACCUUCCUGUAAAAAUCCUGAAACGCGGUAGUCCAUACACUAGCCGCAGGCGGUUCUCCAAAAAGCAACAAGACCGCAAGAACAACACGGCGAUUCGUCUGAAAGUGACUCAAGCAGCAGUUCAUUUCGAACCAUGGACUGUCUCGAUUUUUUCCCUCCAUCAAUUGCAGCGCAACUGCAAUUGUCUCGCGCGAUCGAUAGCCACUUGUAGGGUUUUUUCGCGAGAUCGCGAGCUAUAAAGUAACGGGUCCUUUGUUUCUCUCCCCUUACUGUUUCUGCGAAUUGUCGAAAUCGAUGCUUUCGCUGAAAAUCGCUGUGGGAUUACAUAUCGCGAAUUCAGAUGCUGCGCGUUUUUGCCACCGGAAAUUCUGCAGCUUUUCGUAGAGCGAGUCAGAGAGAGGAUGACGCUUGGGAUGAAUGGAGGUACUGUGCGCUGUGUUUUUUGAGAAAGGACGUUUUGUUUGCUGAUGUGGCCUGAGGCGAUGUAGCUUAGGAAAAUAUCGCCAGUGGCUUUGAAUCACGGAUGAAUUGCAAGAAUUUGUGAAAAAUACUCGAUAUUUCACCUGAUAAAUUCACUUUCCUCUCGAUCGUAUAGAAGCUUAUAUAGGUGUCACAGUGACACUGGCACAAAGUAAGCCAAUUACGUCAAUUCAAUUACUCGCGCCACCGUCCAACAUGUCAUUUACAGAAAUCAUAUUAUUAAAUGUUUCUAAUUAUGCAGAUGAAUGAUCACAAUAUAAUAAGCGAAAAUCACAGUCUGUAAUCAUGAUCAAUUCGUGUACAGAUAGAACAACUUCGAUCGAUGUGGAAGAAAAAUAAACACCUCGACGAUGACGCCGCUAUUCAAUCUCACAAUAGCAAACGAACGCGCGAAAUGUGGAACGCACCUUCGCAUGUAUAUUUGCGGAGCGUAUAUUUACGCGCGUGUACAUGGCAAUUCCAGCGUCGUCCGCGGCAAUCGAUGGACAUUCCGGCUUGUGCUUCUGGUUUCGAGCUCACCGCUCGAUUAUUAAUUCACAACGCAGGGGAUCGACCCGACAAGGCUGUGGCUGGUCUCCGCGAUUAUUUCCUCCGUCGGAGUGUCGAUUCAAUCGUUUUUCUUUUCGUUUCCGGGAUCGUCGCAUUAUCGCGCGCUUCGUCGAUUUGGACGGAUUUUGUUUGUGAUUAUUGCAGGGGAUUCGAAUGCCGGGGAUGUGGUGAGGUAGCACUCGUGACUGCAAAGUUCUUGGAAACACUUAUUAGAAUUAUGACGCGCGGGAAGUUAUUUUAAAAUAUUGCGUGCGAGUAUCAAAUUCAGUUUUUGCGCUUUAUUCGCUCUAGUUUUCUGAUUCCAUUGAGCCGCUGAAUGAGUGCUUUGUUCUGCGGAACGGCACGCACUAUUCCUUACUAUGGAUAUAUUUCAGUGACAAUGUUAUUUACUCUGCGCGAUGGAUUAUUUAAGCCACUGUGCCUAUGAGAUUCCGUAUCACUGUACUGGUUAAGCUUCAUUUAGGGAUUACGCGUUGGAGAACAAGCAUUUCUUUGAGAAAAAAUGAUCAAUGUAUGAAUGUAGUACUAUAGAGUGAAUCAUCGAUCCAGCGAUGAUUCGGUAGAAACUGCCGAAUUUAGAGAUUGGCGCACUUCCUGUGAAUAUAAAUGAAUUUAUUAACUAGCAUAAAAGGAACGUGCAAUUACGUUGUAGCAUACGCUUUGUUAUUUAAUUGUUACACUGUAUGACGUUAAUGCUUCAACUUCCGAUUACGCAAUCUACCAACUAAAGUAUUGCUAGCUUGACAUGACAAACGUCAUCGUCACCAACAAAAAAAAAAAAAAAAAA
rnacentral:lncRNA from 1 species